UGAGUUUCAUCCACGACGACAACACCCUUUUUCUGCUUCCUCCUUGGGUCCAGAUAGAGGGCCGUUACGCUCAUACGCGCAUAUAUCUACGCUCUUGCGACUAGCGCACACAAAGCGAGGAAGUCGGUCAGGCAUCCUUGAAAGUCUUUCAGUGCUACAGUACGAUCUCUUCGUGCUCGCCGUCCUUCGCCCGCCUCAACUGCGUCCACUGAGGAGUCGAUUGUCGUUCUUAGUACUGCUCGUUGUCGGUUUUGCGCGUGCAAGCGUGCUGUUUGGAAUCUUGUCCGUGACUGACUGCGUGUCUCUCAGGUAGCUACACCAGGGGGCAAGGCGAGGCUUUCACGUUGCGAGCCCAUCCUCUUUUUUCCCUUUCAUAUCAACGCACACAAACGUGCCGCACCGCUUGUUCGUGCAAGGAACCGGAAUACGAGGGCGCCAGAGGCCACAGUGAACCAUCAUCAAUCAUGAGCGGGGCACCAAUGAGCGAUGAGCAGCGAGCAGCGCUGGAGCAGCGCCUCGCUCGGCUGCGCGCGGCCCAAGCUGCUGCGUCCGCAAGUGGGCAUGAGAGGGCUGCUAGGCUGCCUAUCGGUACUGCAAACGGUGCCCACCACGCCAACACCGGUGCACAGCAGACGGACCAGCAAGGGACACCGGCGCCGAACCCGCGUGGUGGUCCUCGCGGUGGUGCAGCCCCGCCCCCGCCGCAGAUGGGGUAUGCCUACGAUGACGAUGACGAUGACGAAGAAGAAGCAGAGCUGGAUAGCGCCGGGCAGCAGUUCGAAGACGAGUUUCUGCGCCUCAUCGCCCAACAGCAGCGGCUGCAGGGCGUGCAUCCGGUGUCAUCACACGAGCUGAACGCCGCCUCGGUUGCGCAGGUGAGUGCCACGAGCCACGCCGAUGAGGGUGUGAGCGUUGUCGCGACAGACAAGAGCACCCCUUGUACGCGCGAGCUAGGCGACUUUGAGGCCCUUCGGCUGGCGAAGAUGGGCGAUAGUGUCUCCAUGAAGGACUUUGGUGCCGUGUGCGGUGUCGUCUGGAGGACGCUUACGGACAACCACGGCCGCAAUGCGCUUCACUACGCCGCCGAUGCCGGAUCGGCGGCACUUAUUCGGCAGGUGGCGGACGACCUGCACGUCCCUUACGUGGCGGAUGAGAAGCGAAUGACACCGCUCGACAUUGCGAUUUUGAACGGGCACUCUAGCGUCGAAAGCGAUGAGGUGUACGCGGCGCUCGUAGCGGCAGCGAAGGCAUCGGGGCACGCUGACGGGAACCCGAGCGCCACUGAGGGAGGUAUAAAGACACGAGAGAGCGUGCUCGAGGCACACGCUCCCCCGCCGCCAAAGUUCGUGAUGAGCAAGCCGGUCUCCAAGGCAGCAGAGGCGGCCGGCACACGCACGUUUUGGUCCUCUACGUGUACCAGAAGUGUAGCGAUCAGUGUACAGUGCAGCAGCGGUGCCGACAUGACCGAUGCCGAGCGGCAAGCUGUCAGCGAUGCGGUAUGCUCGCUGGAUCAGCAUGGAAGGCUUCAGUGGCUGCGGCCCGUGACGCGAGGUGCACUGAUGCCGUGUGAACACUGGCAGGUUGCGGUGGCAUCGCAAGCAGACGCGACUGCAGCGACGACGGCCACAGCAACGACGGGAGUAGUGGUGGUACAGGUGCUGCCGAACGUUUCCUUGAAAGGGCCGGCGGCGAAGAAGAUCAGCGCCGCAACAGUAGCAGUCGCGGCUCACUUGGCGGUGCGCAGCGACAGUCAUCACACCGGGGUCGCUGCCGCCUUGCUACACGCGUUGCGUACUCGCAUUGGAGAUUUGACUGGAAGCAACAACAACGCUGCCGUCUUCUUUGCCUCUGGAACGCAACUCAGCCGUCCGCCGGCGGCUGUGGCGACAGUGAAGUGGUAUCGCCGCGCCUUUGAUGCGGCGUACGUCUACGCCUCGGAGAGUGCCUACGAUGUCUUCCCCGAUUUCUACAACUACGAUGAGGUGCUACGUGCUGAUGCGGUGCUGAAGGGUGCCAUUCCCGCGUCGCUCGUGCAGCAGUACAUGGCGGAUCUGCCGUCGUGGUGCAAUCUCGAAGUCGCCUCCGAUGAACAGUGUGCGCUAGUGCUGAGCUUCAUGCAGGCCAAGGCAGGCAGCGAGGAGUCCAACGUGGACCUGGCCUGCGUGCCAGAGGAUGUGCAGGAGAUGCGUCGUAGCUACAUUGGCCACCCGGACCACCGUUCCUACGUGCGAACUAACGCGCAGGGCUCGGUGACGGAUCUCGUCGUCUUUCGGGCACGCGACACGCGCAAAUCGGAGUCCUCUGCUGAUGCCAACGCUGGCGUCUUUGCGGCUGAGGUAGUGUACGCCCUCUUCACCACCGUCGCCGGAAAGGCGAAAGCGGAUCACAUGAUGCUGCUCGCGUGGAAGCUGUUGUCCGCGAAGCUGCUGCUCGUGCCGACCAUGUUCGGCAUCACAGAGAGCGAACUCGCCAAGGCAAACUUUGAUGAGGUCGUCGCGGACCGAGAGUACAUUUACGCGGUGUCUCCGGCAACCCGGCGCGAGGUGGACGGGCUCGGGCCGAUGCCUGCAGCAAAGUUGUCGCUGCCCCUCUACACCAUUUGAAUGCGCGCGUCUCUUCUUUCUUUUUUUUUUAGGAGGGCCCUGUCACUCUCCGACCCCCGCAUCGCCGGCUGACACUCCUUCCUUGCCCUCGCCUUGCUCAGCUGUCCCUGCAUCCUCGCGCAUUCGCUAAUACACAUCUCUGUGUCUGCAGUAGCCAGAUGCUCGCCUGGGGGUGGGGGUGGGGGCAGAUUUCAACCGGUCGUGUGGUGGCGUCACAGGUGCCGACACUGCAAGGGGUGCUGUUUGUUGUCGAGGCGCCUUUGAGGAACCGCUGUUCAUACUGCGGUGAAAGGGAGGCAGUGAAGAGGUCGUGGGCGUCGCUGAAGCCGCAUCCCUUUUUCUAUGUGUAUCUGUUUGUGACGGUGCGUGGCUGCCGUACAUCAUCUUCUGCGGUGUGUGUGUGUACCUCAUGUCGUCGAUCCCUCUCUCUUCUCUUUCCUGAUCUCAUCUGGUUGUCUUUGUGUGUGGUAUCUUAUUUCUUUUGUGCGCCCACACAUCCUACGGCCCAUUCUUGUGGCGGUGUUGGUGGCGGUGAUCGUCGUUGCCUGCGGUGUUUUGUUCUUCACUGUGUGUAAUUCUUCUCUAACGAAUGUCCUCGGCCUCUCUCUCUGGCUCGAAACUUGAGCUGUUCAACGCAAGAAGUAGUGGUAGUGGUGCAGCGACCCAAAGAAACGAACGAGAGCAAAAUGAAUGAUGGGCCCAUUGCUGUGGCGAUGGUAGCCACGCCAUCGUGAAAAUCCCUUCCGCGCGCGCACACACACACGCGCACCCUCCUCCCAUGUCUGUCUCCCACCUUUCGUCUCAGCCGUCUGCUUAAUCGUUUGCAACGCUGUGUUUCGUUUAUUCGUGUCUGUGUGUGCUGGCGGCGGUGGUUGCUGCGGCGUCCAGUUUGGACACCCAGCGACAACGGGAGAACAGAGGCUGGCCUGCGCAAAAGAGGAAGAUACGAACGAGCGACCUGGCAUACGACGAAUGGCAGCACUGAGCUCGGCAACCGCGCGUUGCAUGUCUGCUGCUUUGGUUUUUUUUUCUGCUCGUCUGGCUCCCGCAUCCCAGAAGGGCGGACACACCCCUCAGCGUGUGGUAUCCCAGCGUCCCGUGCCCCCACUCUGUGUGUGGGGAAGCUAAGCAAGCCCCCUCAUCCCUGCCGCAUGCUGAACCGCUUCCGGUGGUGAAAUGGUAAGGCACCUACGACGAGGGGGGGAGCAGGUCAGAGCGAUGCAUCGCUGCGGACGUUAGCGGUCAGCUCCUGGGUCUCGUUGCGUCGGAGCGACCUGCGACAGUGAAUAUGUUUGCGCCAUCGGUGCAUUAGGCAGAGUGUCGGCGUGGCUUGAGCGUGUGUCUCGCCCGGCCCUCACUGCCCUUGCUGGUGAAGGGAGCCGGAGCCACCCCGAGGAGGGGAUGCGCCAGGGGGGCGGCCAGCACGGUGGAGGCGGCUGUGAGGCGACCUGCGAGGUGGGUGGGCGGCCAGCGUUAGAGGCAGGGGGCCGCGCUGAGGUGGCGGAGUCGGCGCAUUGCCGUAACGCGCGUGUCGGCUGCCGCUUCGCGCUGCUCUCAUGACGGGGUGGGGAGAGGGGCAUUGGGCUCAUGCUGCACAGCGGAGAGUGGGCUCACACUGAUGGCAAAGAAGUCGAAACAUUCUCUUCCGUUUUCUUACUCCUUUU
rnacentral:misc_RNA from 1 species